ACAGGUUCAUGUUGCUGAGAAUCAUCUGUACUAGAGACAUGAUUAGCAACUACAGUAUAUGAUUUUAGCUCAGGGCCUGGUGGAUAUCCAUCUUUCUUAUAACAUGCAUCAAUAGUAUGUCAAGGCUUGCCACAAUAUGUGCAAAGCCUAUUAUCUCUAGCAGAAACAGAAGAGGACUAGAAAAUUGUCUAGUAGGAUUGUAUG
rnacentral:misc_RNA from 1 species